AAGCAUUGAGGCAGUCAAAGUAGGCAAAUCCGCUUUGAUAAUGCUGGGAUGUGAUGGGGAGCGAAAUUUAGUAGCGAAGUAGCUGAUUUCACACUGUCAAGAAAAGUCUCUAUCGAGGUUAAAGGUACCCGUACCGCAAACCGACACAGGUGGGUGAGGAGAGUAUCCUAAGGCCAGCGAGAGAACUGUUGUUAAGGAACUCGGCAAAAUGACCCCGUAACUUAGGGAUAAGGGGUGCCACCAUCAGGUGGCCGCAGAGAAUAGGCCCAAGCGACUGUUUACCAAAAACAUAGGUUUCUGCUAAGUCGCAAGACGAUGUAUAGGAGCUGACGCCUGCCCGGUGCUGGAAGGUUAAGGGGAUCUGUUAGAGCAAUCGAAGCAGUGAACUUAAGCCCCAGUAAACGGCGGCCGUAACUAUAACGGUCCUAAGGUAGCGAAAUUCCUUGUCGGGUAAGUUCCGACCCGCACGAAAGGCGUAACGAUUUGGGCACUGUCUCAACAACAGACUCGGUGAAAUUGUAAUUCCGGUGAAGAUGCCGGAUACCUGCGACAGGACGGAAAGACCCCAUGGAGCUUUACUGUAGCUUGACAUUGGGUCUUGGUACUACAUGUACAGGAUAGGUGGGAGGCUUUGAAACCAGGACGCCAGUUUUGGCGGAGCCAUCCUUGGGAUACCACCCUUGUAGUACUGGGACUCUAACCAUAGGCCAUGAAUCUGGUCUUGGGACACUGUCAGGUGGGCAGUUUGACUGGGGCGGUCGCCUCCCAAAAGGUAACGGAGGCGCUCAAAGGUUCUCUCAGUACGGUCGGAAAUCGUACGUAGAGUGUAAAGGCAAAAGAGAGCUUGAUUGCAAGACAUACAGGUCGAGCAAGGAUGAAAAUCGGACUUAGUGAUCCGGUGGUUCUGCGUGGAAGGGCCAUCGCUCAACGGAUAAAAGCUACCCUGGGGAUAACAGGCUUAUCUCCCCCAAGAGUCCACAUCGACGGGGAGGUUUGGCACCUCGAUGUCGGCUCAUCACAUCCUGGGGCUGUAGUAGGUCCCAAGGGUUGGGCUGUUCGCCCAUUAAAGUGGUACGCGAGCUGGGUUCAGAACGUCGUGAGACAGUUCGGUCCCUAUCCGUCGCAGGCGUAGGAAAUUUG
rnacentral:rRNA from 1 species